rnacentral:rRNA from 1 species
UACAGAGGUCUCAAGCGUUGUUCGGAUUCAUUGGGCGUAAAGGGUGCGUAGGCGGCGCGGUAAGUCGGGUGUGAAAUCUUGGAGCUUAACUCCGAAACUGCAUUCGAUACUGCCGUGCUUGAGGACUGGAGAGGAGACUGGAAUUUACGGUGUAGCGGUGAAAUGCGUAGAUAUGACAUAGAACACCAAUUGCGAAGGCAGCUGGCUACACGAAUAUUGACACUGAUGCACGAAAGCGUGGGGAUCAAACAGG